rnacentral:rRNA from 2 species
CACCUGAUUGAUUUUGGUCGCCAACGAGUGGCGGACGGGUGAGUAACACGUAGGUAACCUGCCCAGAAGCGGGGGACAACAUUUGGAAACAGAUGCUAAUACCGCAUAACAGCGUUGUUCGCAUGAACAACGCUUAAAAGAUGGCUUCUCGCUAUCACUUCUGGAUGGACCUGCGGUGCAUUAGCUUGUUGGUGGGGUAACGGCCUACCAAGGCGAUGAUGCAUAGCCGAGUUGAGAGACUGAUCGGCCACAAUGGGACUGAGACACGGCCCAUACUCCUACGGGAGGCAGCAGUAGGGAAUCUUCCACAAUGGGCGCAAGCCUGAUGGAGCAACACCGCGUGAGUGAAGAAGGGUUUCGGCUCGUAAAGCUCUGUUGUUAAAGAAGAACACGUAUGAGAGUAACUGUUCAUACGUUGACGGUAUUUAACCAGAAAGUCACGGCUAACUACGUGCCAGCAGCCGCGGUAAUACGUAGGUGGCAAGCGUUAUCCGGAUUUAUUGGGCGUAAAGAGAGUGCAGGCGGUUUUCUAAGUCUGAUGUGAAAGCCUUCGGCUUAACCGGAGAAGUGCAUCGGAAACUGGAUAACUUGAGUGCAGAAGAGGGUAGUGGAACUCCAUGUGUAGCGGUGGAAUGCGUAGAUAUAUGGAAGAACACCAGUGGCGAAGGCGGCUACCUGGUCUGCAACUGACGCUGAGACUCGAAAGCAUGGGUAGCGAACAGGAUUAGAUACCCUGGUAGUCCAUGCCGUAAACGAUGAGUGCUAGGUGUUGGAGGGUUUCCGCCCUUCAGUGCCGGAGCUAACGCAUUAAGCACUCCGCCUGGGGAGUACGACCGCAAGGUUGAAACUCAAAGGAAUUGACGGGGGCCCGCACAAGCGGUGGAGCAUGUGGUUUAAUUCGAAGCUACGCGAAGAACCUUACCAGGUCUUGACAUCUUGCGCCAACCCUAGAGAUAGGGCGUUUCCUUCGGGAACGCAAUGACAGGUGGUGCAUGGUCGUCGUCAGCUCGUGUCGUGAGAUGUUGGGUUAAGUCCCGCAACGAGCGCAACCCUUGUUACUAGUUGCCAGCAUUAAGUUGGGCACUCUAGUGAGACUGCCGGUGACAAACCGGAGGAAGGUGGGGACGACGUCAGAUCAUCAUGCCCCUUAUGACCUGGGCUACACACGUGCUACAAUGGACGGUACAACGAGUCGCGAACUCGCGAGGGCAAGCAAAUCUCUUAAAACCGUUCUCAGUUCGGACUGCAGGCUGCAACUCGCCUGCACGAAGUCGGAAUCGCUAGUAAUCGCGGAUCAGCAUGCCGCGGUGAAUACGUUCCCGGGCCUUGUACACACCGCCCGUCACACCAUGAGAGUUUG